GGGUUGUGAGGUUAAGCGACUAAGCGUACACGGUGGAUGCCCUGGCAGUCAGAGGCGAUGAAGGACGUGCUAAUCUGCGAUAAGCGCCGGUAAGGUGAUAUGAACCGUUAUAACCGGCGAUUUCCGAAUGGGGAAACCCAGUGUGACUCGUCACACUAUCAUUAACUGAAUCCAUAGGUUAAUGAGGCGAACCGGGGGAACUGAAACAUCUAAGUACCCCGAGGAAAAGAAAUCAACCGAGAUUCCCCCAGUAGCGGCGAGCGAACGGGGAGGAGCCCAGAGCCUGAAUCAGCAUGUGUGUUAGUGGAAGCGUCUGGAAAGGCGCGCGAUACAGGGUGACAGCCCCGUACACAAAAGCGCAUGUGUUGUGAGCUCGAUGAGUAGGGCGGGACACGUGGUAUCCUGUCUGAAUAUGGGGGGACCAUCCUCCAAGGCUAAAUACUCCUGACUGACCGAUAGUGAACCAGUACCGUGAGGGAAAGGCGAAAAGAACCCCGGCGAGGGGAGUGAAAAAGAACCUGAAACCGUGUACGUACAAGCAGUGGGAGCACCCUUGGGUGUGACUGCGUACCUUUUGUAUAAUGGGUCAGCGACUUAUAUUCUGUAGCAAGGUUAACCGUAUAGGGGAGCCGAAGGGAAACCGAGUCUUAACCGGGCGUUAAGUUGCAGGGUAUAGACCCGAAACCCGGUGAUCUAGCCAUGGGCAGGUUGAAGGUUGGGUAACACUAACUGGAGGACCGAACCGACUAAUGUUGAAAAAUUAGCGGAUGACCUGUGGCUGGGGGUGAAAGGCCAAUCAAACCGGGAGAUAGCUGGUUCUCCCCGAAAGCUAUUUAGGUAGCGCCUCGUGAAUUCAUCUCCGGGGGUAGAGCACUGUUUCGGCUAGGGGGCCAUCCCGGCUUACCAACCCGAUGCAAACUGCGAAUACCGGAGAAUGUUAUCACGGGAGACACACGGCGGGUGCUAACGUCCGUCGUGAAGAGGGAAACAACCCAGACCGCCAGCUAAGGUCCCAAAGUCAUGGUUAAGUGGGAAACGAUGUGGGAAGGCCCAGACAGCCAGGAUGUUGGCUUAGAAGCAGCCAUCAUUUAAAGAAAGCGUAAUAGCUCACUGGUCGAGUCGGCCUGCGCGGAAGAUGUAACGGGGCUAAACCAUGCACCGAAGCUGCGGCAGCGA
rnacentral:rRNA from 1 species